rnacentral:RNase_P_RNA from 1 species
AGCAGACUGCACAGCCGCGGCAGCGCUUUUAGCUGACGAGGAAAGUCCGGGCAUCACAGAGCGGGGUAACUGCUAACGGCAGCCGGAGGCGACUCCAGGGCAAGUGCAACAGAAAUGAGACUGCCCGUGUCUCUGAUGCGGGCGAUGGUGGAAAGGUAGGGUAAGAGCCUACCAGAGCAUACGAGAGUAUGCUGCUGUGUAAACCCUGCCCGAUGCAACGCUGAAUGGUGCAGCAGGUCAUAACGUCUGCUCGGCGGACCGGCUGCAAAGGCGGCUUGAGCGUUCCGGCGACGGAACGCCUAGAUAAAUGGCUGUGCCGCAUCCCUUCCGGGAUGUACGACAAAACCCGGCUUACAGGUCUGGU